GACGAACGCUGGCGGCAGGCCUAACACAUGCAAGUCGAGCGGAGCGGCGGACGGGUGAGUAAUGUAUGGGGAACUGCCCGAUAGAGGGGGAUAACGUCCGGAAACGGGCGCUAAUACCGCAUACUAUCAGAUGAGCCUAGGUCGGAUUAGCUAGUUGGUGGGGUAAAGGCCUACCAAGGCGACGAUCCUUAACUGGUCUGAGAGGAUGAUCAGUCACACUGGAACUGAGACACGGUCCAGACUCCGACGGGAGGCAGCAGUGGGGAAUAUUGGACAAUGGGCGAAAGCCUGAUCCAGCCAUGCCGCGUGUGUGAAGAAGGUCUUCGGAUUGUAAAGCACUUUAAGUUAGGAGGCGUUACCAGCAGAAGAAGCACCGGCUAACUUCGUGCCAGCAGCCGCGGUAAUUC
rnacentral:rRNA from 1 species